UAAGUAAUAGUCAAUAUUCAUAUUUAUCUGUCCCUUGCAACAUUGAUAUUGUUCAUUUACUUAUACAUUAUCUUAAUUCACUACUUACUGACUAAAUGGCUGACUAAUAAAAAGGUGACAUUCUAGAAUUAAUGAAUUAAUAUCUCAACGUUAUAAAUUAUUGUUUUCUCUUGUACUCCUUAAAAUCCUUGCAUGUGGGUGAUUUAAGCGUGCUGCCAUGAUCACAGACUUUGAGGCUGAAUCUAUGCAUUAAAAUCGCGGAGCACAAUGUGAGUACCAUAGUUCUUUUCUUGGUUUUGUUGUUUUUUAAAAAAGGUUUUCACCACAUUAUUAAAAAGUCUGAAAUAAGAUCUCUGAUUGCCAAACAUGCUAAAAAAGAAUAAUGUUGCUAAUAUGAAGUAUUAUGUUAACGUUUGUAGGAAAUUAAUUAACCUUUGAGGUCAUUAAUGAAACAUAUAUAUUGUUUAUGGAAAGUAAUUUAAAGACACAUGUUAGACAUAUUUAAGACUCUUGUUUCAAGUUUUUGUGACUCCUUAAGGUCUUUAUUUUGUUAUUCGUAGUCAAUUGAUGAUUUAUUCAAUAAAUAUGUGUAGACAUGAAUGAAGACAAUGAGGCUCAACCCUAGAUAAAUGAUGAUUAGUGUGCGUAGGAGUCCUUUUCCCCCCAUUUGAGGUGAUCCCAUAGGGAGAGGCUAGGUAUCGAAAGGAUCAUGCUCUUGGUCUUUGUAUACAUGAAUAUUUAAAAAUUUCAUUAGAAAUGGCAACGUAAACAAACAAAUAUAUAGUCAAUACAUAUGAAAAGGGUGAAACCCUCAUCAUUGUUAAAAAUAUAUAGUGGGAUGGAAAAUAAUACCACCCCGUGUAUAUGUCCUAAAACAGUGAUAAAUCAUAGUUGGUUACCGAUGGAGUCAGUUUCAACUCUGACAUUUGAUUUAUUGAGAGAAAAAUAAAUAAAUAUGACCAGACAUUAAUAAAUGCUUAAAUAACUAUGCAAAUAAAUAGUGGAAACUCUGAAUCCAUGGAGAGAAAGUCUCAACAUUUGUAUAAUGUUUCUUUGGCCAUUUGUCUCCCGAAUGGACCCUGGAACUGAUUUUGGCUUCUGCUGUCUGUCAUGUUCCCUCUGUGUAUGAGAAGCGGUCAAGGUACCUAACUGUCAUGUUAUCAUGGAGUGGGUCGUUUGUUUAAGGAUAUUUACAGUAUCAUUUAAAGACAUUAAAUUCAUAAAAAGUUAGCCAUGUCUCAUUGUUAAGUAUGACAUGAAACUUUAUGUUGAUAAUGUGCAAGAUUGGAGCCCAUUAAUGAAUGAAGUAUAGUCUAUGUGGGAAAUGAUUGUGUAAAAUGACCUCAUUCUUAAGUUUUUAUAAUCCAUGAAUUGUUUUUAUUAUUAUGAAUGAAUUAAUCAUUUUAUCGAUACAAAUGUAGUAACAGAUGAUGAAAAAUAGACCAAGUCAUGGAUCAAUAAUGAUCCUUGGCGGCGUAGGAGUCAUGACGAUGAAAAUACAUGUCUGAGACUCUGAGAUCUAGAACAUAGUCUGUUACUUCUGUUGAAAUGGUUUCUAUAGAGAGAUGUCAGGAAUAUAGAGAUCAUAUUAGUGUAUUGAUUUCACAGAGAUAGAUGUGUAUUUAUUCAUGGAAUAGUGAUAAAACUAUUAAAUAUAAAUACACAUAAAGAAUGAGGUGAAGUAUUGUUCAAUUAUGAAGGUUUUGUAGUGAGGUAAAAGGUAGUAAUGCCAUUGAAAACAUUGAUUCCCAUUAAGAAAUUAAUGGCUCAAUCGGUCACCUCAGUGACUAAGGAUUAUAUAGAUACUGAUAAGGAAGUCUAUUUUAUUCUUCUGGGUCAAUCUCAAGAUUGAGUUUUUACUUUUCUUAAGAUAAAGAAUGUAUAUUAAUAAAAAUUAAUACAUACCUAAAUACUGAGUUAAUGAAAUGUGUGGAAAGCAAGUAUCAAUGACAGUUAGUUUAAUUUUAGUUUUUAUCUGCUGUGUCCUCCUCAGACACUCUCGGGCUGAUGUAUGCAUUAUCCAUGGUCACCAGCUUUCUGGUUGCCUCUAGUAGGAGGACAGAGAUUAAUGUGGGUAAUAGUUCAAGUUUUUUUCUUGGUUUCAAUGUGUUUUUUUAAAUUAUUCAUUAGAAAGUGCAAAAGAUAUUUAAGAGGGCAACUCUAACUCAGUGAUAAAUAUGGGAAGUUUAUUUUAUAAAGAUAAAAAUAAAUUUUACCAUAAAUGAAUAAAUACCAAAAUAAUUAUGGAAAUUAUAGAUCACUGGAGACAAUGUCUCAAUCUUUUUAUCAUCUGUUCUGCUUGAUACUCUGUAGAAACACAGCACCCAGCUGACUUAAGCUUUCUUCCAUGAUCAAAAUAAGAUGUCACUUCUGUUUUCAGAGAGACAAGUCUGGACUCACUCGAGCUGAUUUAAGCAUCACGAGCUCCAUGGUUAUAUCUGUGCAUUAUGAGCAUGGAGAGCAAUGAUGGAAGCACCACAGCUAAUUAAAUUAUUCUGCAGUCAUGAAGAUCUUCGCCUUAUCCCUCUGGGGAAGGUGCAUACCGUGCUAUGUCGUCUGCAAAGAUCCUGGAGGUGUGGCUGCCUGAGCACAAGCCCCCCUGAGAGGACGCCUCUGACGGUGGAGCCCUCGCUUCCCGGGUGAGUUCUGCGUCUCCUGCUGACACUCUAGGAAGCAUACAUGCCGGUGGGAAAGGGCCAGACAGUCUAGGUCAGUGGUUCCAACGUGGGGCACAGGCCUGCCGGGGGGCAAUUUGAUUUUUAAGGGGGGCAAUUGAGUUAUUAACAGUGAAUGUUUUGCAUUUCUUAUGGU